UACGGAGGGGGCGAGCGUUAUUCGGAAUUAUUGGGCGUGAAGGGCGCGUAGGCGGCCCGGUAAGUCAAAGGUGAAAUCCCUCGGCUCAACCGAGGAACUGCAUCCGAUACUGGCGGGCUUGAAUCCGGGAGAGGGAUGUGGAAUUCCAGGUGUAGCGGUGAAAUGCGUAGAUAUCUGGAGGAACACCGGUGGCGAAGGCGGCAUCCUGGACCGGUAUUGACGCUGAGGCGCGAAAGCCAGGGGAGCAAACGGG
rnacentral:rRNA from 1 species